GUCAUUGUCAUUGUCACCGUGUCAUUGUCACCAUGUCACCGUCACCGUCACCGUGUCAUCGUCAUCGUGUCAUUGUCACUGUGUCACCGUCAUCAUGUCAUUGUCAUCGUCAUCGUCAUUCUCAUUGUGUCAUCGUCAUUGUCACCAUGUCAUUGUCAUCGUCAUUGUGUCGUCAUCGUCAUCACGUCAUCGUCAUUGUCACCGUGUCAUUGUCAUUGUCAUCGUCAUCGUCAUUGUGUCACCGGCAUUGUCACCGCAUCGUCAUUGCCAUCAUCAUCAUCAUUGUGUCAUUGUCAUUGUCACCGUGUCCUUGUCACCGUGUCAUUGUCAUUGUCAUUGUCAUCGCGUCAUCGUCAUUGUCACCGUGUCAUUGUCAUUGUCAAUUGUCAUUGUCACCAUGUCAUUGUCAUUGUCACCGUGUCAUUGUCAUUGUUGUUGCAUCAUUGUCAACGUGUCAUCAUCGUCACCGUGUCAUUGUCAUUGUCAUCAUGUCAUUGCCAUUGUCACCGUCAUUGUCAUUGUGUCAUCAUCGUCACCGUGUCAUUGUCAUUGUCAUUGCAUCAUUGUCACCGUGUCAUUGUCAUCGUCAUCGCGUCAUUGUCAUUGUCACCAUGUCAUUGUCACCGUGUCAUUGUCAUUGUCAUUGUCACUGUGUCAUCGUCAUUGUCAUCGCGUCAUUGUCAUUGUCACCGCCAUUGUCAUUGUGUCAUUGUCAUUGUCACCGUGUCAUUGUCACCACGUUAUUGUCAUCGUGUCAUUGCCAUUGCCGUCGCAUUAUUGUCAUUGUCACCGUGUCAUCGUCAUUGUCACUGUCAUCGUCGUUGUCACCAUGUCACCGGCAUCGUCAUCGUAUCACCGUCAUUGUCAUCAUCAUCGCAUCAUUGUCAUUGUCACCAUGUCAUUGUCAUUGUCAUCACGUCAUUGUCAUUGUCGUCACUGUCACCGUGUCAUUGUCACCGUGUCAUUGUCAUCGUCAUCGUCAUUGUCAUUGUCACCGUGUCAUCAGUGUCACCGUGUCAUUGUCAUUGUCGUCACAUCAUUGUCAUUGUCACCGUCAUUGUCACCGUGUCAUUGUCGUUGUCAUUAUCAUCACUUCAUUGUCAUUGUCACUGUCACUGUCACCAUGUCAUUGUCACCAUGUCAUUGUCACUGUCAUUGGCACCGUGUCAUCAUCAUUGUCACUGUGUCAUUGUCACCGCCAUUGUUACCAUGUCAUCGUCAUUGUCACCGUGUCAUUGUCGUUGUCAUUGUCACCACGUCAUUGUCAUUGUCACCGUCAUUGUCACCGUGUCAUUGUCACCGUCACCGCGUCAAAGUCACCACGAUGUCCCCACCCCUCGGGUCCCCUCUGUGUCCCCAACACCCCCGACGUCCCCGACGUCCCUCAAUGUCCCCAAGACCCCCCAUGUCCUAUGUCCCCAAUGUCCCCAAUGUCCCCAAUGUCCCCAUCCCCAACAUCCUCGAUGUCCCCAACGUCCCCAACGCCCCCCACGUCCCCGAUGUCCCCAAUGUCCCCGAUGUCCCCAA
rnacentral:lncRNA from 1 species